rnacentral:rRNA from 1 species
AUACGUAGGGAGCAAGCGUUAUCCGGAUUUAUUGGGUUUAAAGGGUGCGUAGGUGGUUUGAUAAGUCAGCGGUGAAAGUUUGCAGCUUAACUGUAAAAAUGCCGUUGAAACUGUCGGACUUGAGUGUAAAUGAGGUAGGCGGAAUGCGUGGUGUAGCGGUGAAAUGCAUAGAUAUUCGGAGGAACACCAGUGGCGAAGGCGGCCUACUGGGCUCUAACUGACGCUGAGGCUCGAAAGUGUGGGGAGC